rnacentral:tRNA from 1 species
CUCCGGACGCGCGGUGGGCCGCCAGGCUGCCUGUAAAGCAGCCGUCCUCACGGACAAUGUGGGUUCGAUUCCCACCCGGGGC